GACGAGGGACCUAGCGUUGUUCGGAAUUAUUGGGCGUAAAGCGGAUGCAUGUGGCUCUGUUAGUCAGAUGUGAAAGCCCAGGGCUUAACCCUGGAAGUGCAUUUGAUACUGCAGAGCUUGGGUGCUAGAGAGGUAAGUAGAAUACCUGGUGUAGUGGUGAAAUACGUAGAUAUCAGGUGGAAUACCGGAGGCGAAGGCGGCUUACUGGCUAGACACUGACACUCAGAUCCGAAAGCGUGGGGAUCAAACAGG
rnacentral:rRNA from 1 species